UGAGUAACCUGCCCUUAGCUCUGGGAUAAGCCUGGGAAACUGGGUCUAAUACCGGAUAUGACUCCUCAUCGCAUGGUGGGGGGUGGAAAGCUUUUUGUGGUUUUGGAUGGACUCGCGGCCUAUCAGCUUGUUGGUGAGGUAAUGGCUCACCAAGGCGACGACGGGUAGCCGGCCUGAGAGGGUGACCGGCCACACUGGGACUGAGACACGGCCCAANCCUACGGAGGGACGGACGA
rnacentral:rRNA from 1 species